UGGGGCAACCCUUGAGGGUCAUGUGCAGCGCUGUAAUGGGGUAAGGGUGAGGUUCCGGGUACCAUGAGGCUAGAGGUGAAAUUCUGAGAACCUUAUGUGACCAACUAAUGCGAAAGCUGUCGUGAACCACCACAAACCCGUCUAUCAGGGACGAAAGUUGGGGGAUCGAAGACGAUUAGAUACCGUCGUAGUCCCAACUAUAAACGAUA
rnacentral:rRNA from 1 species